rnacentral:rRNA from 1 species
GACGAACGCUGGCGGCGUGCCUAAUACAUGCAAGUAGAACGCUGAAGAGAGGAGCUUGCUCUUCUUGGAAGAGUUGCGAACGGGUGAGUAACGCGUAGGUAACCUGCCUUGUAGCGGGGGAUAACUAUUGGAAACGAUAGCUAAUACCGCAUAACAAUGGGUGACCCAUGUCAUUCAUUUGAAAGGGGCAACUGCUCCACUACAAGAUGGACCCGCGUUGUAUUAGCUAGUAGGUGAGGUAACGGCUCACCUAGGCGACGAUACAUAGCCGACCUGAGAGGGUGAUCGGCCACACUGGGACUGAGACACGGCCCAGACUCCUACGGGAGGCAGCAGUAGGGAAUCUUCGGCAAUGGGGGCAACCCUGACCGAGCAACGCCGCGUGAGUGAAGAAGGUUUUCGGAUCGUAAAGCUCUGUUGUAAGUCAAGAACGAGUGUGAGAGUGGAAAGUUCACACUGUGACGGUAGCUUACCAGAAAGGGACGGCUAACUACGUGCCAGCAGCCGCGGUAAUACGUAGGUCCCGAGCGUUGUCCGGAUUUAUUGGGCGUAAAGCGAGCGCAGGCGGUUUGAUAAGUCUGAAGUUAAAGGCUGUGGCUCAACCAUAGUUCGCUUUGGAAACUGUCAAACUUGAGUGCAGAAGGGGAGAGUGGAAUUCCAUGUGUAGCGGUGAAAUGCGUAGAUAUAUGGAGGAACACCGGUGGCGAAAGCGGCUCUCUGGUCUGUAACUGACGCUGAGGCUCGAAAGCGUGGGGAGCGAACAGG